rnacentral:misc_RNA from 1 species
GGAAUGUUUAAAUAACUUCGCGGUGUUUGAGAGUACGAAAACUCCUGAGCUAGAUCAGGGUGUUGUUCCCUCCAAGAGGUUAUCAGUCUCUUUAGGACAUAAUUGGUUUUAGGAAGAGUAGCUGCAGAUAAAGACUGCCUUGUAAUGGGGCAUGUUGUAUUACCUCUUUUUAUCCAUUCCUGGAUGGCUUUCCCUUCGUAUGUUUGACCGGUUUCAAGGGUGACGGGAUCAUUGAAUAUCUGUCCAGUUAUUGGACAGACAAAAUCUUUCGGUGGCCUUGAUGGAGCAGUCGACUUCUCUGACAAUGGGAGAGAAAUGCAGCUG